UUUCAGUUUUUUGGAACCCUCACCUACCAAGAAUAUCUCCAUAACCUGGAGAUUUUCCAUGAAAAUCGCUGACAAGCAUUAUGAACACCAGUUCCUGAUUUGGGAUAAGGUACUACAAAUUUGGAAGCAAUAAACUUUCGGUGGUUGGACAAUGUUAUAUUGCUACUCUAUACGAGGAUAUUUACUAUCACAAUGGACUAUAAUAAUUGGAGUAACCUACGGUAGCACAACCGUUUGAGAAAAUUCAU